CUGUUCUAAGUGAUGACUCUUCACUAUCAGAACUGAAAUCAAGCAAAAAUAUGUGAUUGCAGCAACACUUUUCCAUCUAUACCAUAGCUAUUCCUUAUCUCAUUGCUGAUAGACUUUCAUCUGGAAUCAGCAUCCAGUAUGGACGGGAAUCUCUUUAACAUCAACCAGUUACUUUCCAAUUCCAAAAUAACCAACACCUCCAUUAAUGAUCUUCAGUAUGCUGAUGACUGUCAUGUAUGUUCACUCAUUUGAAGAGCUGCAGAUCACUUUUGCUUCUGUGAAGGGUAUGAAAUGCUUGGACUUUCUGUCAACUUCAUCAAACUCAAGAUACUUUAUCAAUCCACCCCCAACCAACCAGCUGAUCCUGCUCACAUUAAAAUUAGAGGGUAAUCCUUGGAGAAUGAGCAUUUUCUCUACAUGGGUAGCUAGCUUUUCCAAAAAAAGUAAUCAUAGACAAAGCUAUUCACUACCAGAUCAAAUCUGCCAGUGCCCUUUGAUGAUCAUGACAUCAGGACACAGACCAAGCUUCUUAUCUACUAGGAUGCUGUCAUCCCUACUAUGUUGUGUGGGUGUGAAACUUGAAUGACAUAUCGGAUAUACCUGAGAGCUUUAAAACAUUACCAUCAACAAUGUCUCCAGAAAAUCCUCCAUAUCAACUGGAAGGAUAGAAGAAGGAACAGCAGCAUUCCAGCUCAAACAAACACCACCAGUGUUAAAGGCAUUUGGCAUGUUUAUAUGGCACUGUCACAGCCUGUAUGUUUUCAGGGGAUGCAGCCAGCUGAAGCCAGUAAGCAACUGAUUGCAGUCUUGCUGAAAAGACUAGCCCAGCUACAAGCAACGAAAUCUGAUUACAGGCUGCCUAGGGAAUGGGAGCAGCUGAGGCAGACAGCUAGGUGACAUCCAAGCAGCUAAAAAGGUUCCCAGGGAACAGUGCCGGGUUGGUCAGAGAGAGAGACAGAACUGUGGGCUAGAAGCUGGAAGUGAGAGAGCUGCACGUGAGAGUGGAGUGUCGAGUGGGAGAGAGCCAGCAGGUCACCUCAUGCAGGAGCCCGGGGAUCAUAGCAGGAGUGCCCCUCUCCUAGAGGACUCUAAGUGCAGCAAAGAGACUAAGUGAUCCCAUCCUGUGGCUGAAGGGACCAGAGGGACAAGGGAGAGAGUGGGCAAGUGGCAGCAGACUCUCUUUGGGUUUGGGAGAAGACCCCAUGUGGUAUAGAGUUUGGUUUACAGACUGAGUUGUUUAUGUUGACUCCGCUGGGAGGAAGUUGUCCCCUGGGGAAUAAAAAUACCGGGAAAGAUGAUGAAUGAACCUGAAAGACUGUGUGUUUUCUGAGUGAGCAAAUUCCUGAAUCUGCUACGGCACCAGCUCUACUGGACAGGACAUGUCAUGGCAAUCAGUUCCCAAAACAGGUCCUAUACGUCCAACUCAUCAAUGGUGCUCGCUGUUGAGGUGAGCAAAAGAAAAGAUUCAAGGACACCUUGAAGGCCAAUCUGAAGAAAUGUGAUAUUGUCAUCAAUACCUGGGGGACUCGAGCACUGAAUUGUUCCCAGUGGUGCUGUGAUGUAUGAGGCAUCAAUCACUUGGAAGCCAACAGAGAGAUAGAGAGACAAAAGGAAAGAGCUGUGACUUGAUGUCACCAAUAUCUAUUCCUCCCUUCUGGAACUGUUUGCCACACCUGCAGUCAAGCAUGGAUCUUGGAUUGAAUCUGUCAACUACAGAAGUCACUGGUGACUUCCCUGUUCACUGGGAGACUGUCAUCCUUGUUUUGGGGGAUUAGUGCACUGCCAUUUCAGUGGUCCCUUGAUAUGUCAUCCAUAUCAUUUUCACUACCACCUCUACUAGGUUAUAGGAGCUUUGGUGAGAUGGUUCAGCACAAGGGCUAGAAGUGGACUCUAUUUUGCAUGUAUGUCUAUUUGCUUCUGGCUUUGGCACCGUGGCAACACAAUGCUCACUUCCCCAGGCCCAGCCCUGGCACUGGCAUAGGACAUGUGUCAGGGCACAGCCAAAGGAAAGAGGGGAUGGCUGAAAUUAAUGGAAAAAGACCUUACGCCCAUUUCAUCUGGGCACUCCUGUCCAAAACUGUCCAUUUUGACCAUUUGCGGCCCCUGACCAUUUGUGGGGAGGCUUGAGGAAGCGUAUUGAUUAUAAGCUUUUUUUUCCUCUUUUUUUUUGAGGAGAUGGAUCUUCUGUUGGGCAGAUGGUUUUUGUGGAGAAAAUGAAGGACUAUUUGCAGCUGUGAAAAGAUGGGUAUCUGAGUAAACAUAUAACCUUUGGGGAUUCAUGGUUUGUGUGGAGGGGCAGAUAGCUGUGGGAGGAAAGUGAUUUCAAGGGCCCAGUAGUUACAGGGAGAGAGAGUCAGUUGUUGUUUUGUUGCCUUUUACCAGUUUUCUUUCAGCAUCAGGGAUUGACUCCUCCUGUCCCCUGGGCUCAGUGAUUUACAGUACUAAAUAAGCUUGUGGGAGGUGGCUAUAGCGAUCCUAAGGUUUUUCCUGCCUUUGGAGAGCAGACACACAUGUGCACUCUGCCAGUUGCUGAGCAAAAGGUUGCAGCUCCACAGCUGGCUCUGGUUUAUGUUGGUGUUUCAUACAUAUACCUUGAAAAUGAAAAGGCUUGAUUACUGAGCACAAGGACUCCUGGCUUCUUUGAGAACUCCACACCAAUGACGCCAUAACAGGGUCUCUGCAGUAAGUGAGAGCAUAAAGCCAACUAGCUCCUCGCAACCAUAACUGCUGCCUGCUCCUGAUUCUUUAGCUGUGCUCUCCCCUCUCACUUGGAUAAACCAAUGACCCCUGUAAUGCAUCAUGGAUCCCGAUUCCUUUCCAGCUGUGUCAUCUUCAGGACAGUCAGCUGGGGCAGACGCUUCCUUCGUAGCCAUCCACCUGAGGAGAAUCUAGGACCAGUGGAGACUGUAAUUGGUUUAGCAGCAUUUUCACUGGCUAUCCUUGGACCAGCUGGAUGGUUCCUGUCCCACCUUCAAAGCUAUAAAAAGAAAGAGAAGACAAGUACUUGAGUUCUCUGGAUCAUCAGAUCAGCUGUAAAUAUCCUUACUGGAGACCUCUUUAAAGGGAAAACUUCAACCUAAAGUCAAGACAACUUAAAACAUAUUUAAAAGCAGUUUCAGACUUUGCAGUCAGUGCUGUAUUGCUGUGUGAUUCACUUACACAAACUUAAUUAAUAUGAUGAAUUAAAUUGGGGCUGUCCAUUUUCUGGCUGACUGAGGGCUGUAGGCAACCUGGGCAAACACCGCAUGGGCCACAUACACCUGGGCUGCAGGUUUUCCUGUAUAGCAGGAGGAGUAAAAGGGGGUGCAACGGCUAGAUCAGGAGCGUGGGGGGCCACCCUGUGCUACCAUAUGCUUACAGGCUGCCAGUUGGAGAGGCCCAAAUUAAAUUCCCAGUCUUGCAAAGCCUCAUGCACGUGCUCAGUAUUAGGCCCUAGGAGAUGGCUCAUAGGACUGGUUCCACUGAAUAUGAAUAAACACAUACUUAAGUCUUUGCAGAAUUGGGGCCUGAAUGAAUAGUGGAAAGUGACAUAUUGUGGUUUGAUUGAAGUGGGCUCAGUUCCAGGCAUUUCCACUGGACUUGCAUAAACCCCAUCUCCAUUUGGCUGGAGAGGUGUCAAAAGUGCAAGGUGAGCAAACUGGAAAAAAUGUAUAGAAAAAUCAUGCUUUUUAAACUCAUUCAGUUUUACUCAUACUAAAGGUUAUUUAUAAUAAAAGGAAAAUAUAUUGAGAAAAAAGGAGAUUUUAAUGUUAACUUUCUCUUUAGUUGUCUGUAUUAUUGUGGUUUUAGGAAAAAAACCCAAACCUUGUACUUUUAAAUGUAAUCUGCAAAUUACAACUGCCAGAAGUUAGCAACAAUUUCGGUUUGUUUUAAGCAUUCAGGUUUUUCAGGUAUGUGGAAAAUCUGGCCAUGUUUGUUUAUAAUGGAUCAUGUUGUAAAUACUUUUAAAUGUAGUCUCCAUUUUAAAUAAAUAAUGCGAUUAUUCAAAUUGU